UACGUAGGGGGCAAGCGUUGUCCGGAAUUAUUGGGCGUAAAGAGCGUGUAGGCGGCUCGGUAAGUCUGCUGUGAAAGUCCAAGGCUCAACCUUGGAAUGCCGGUGGAUACUGUCGAGCUCGAGUCCGGAAGAGGCGAGUGGAAUUCCUGGUGUAGCGGUGAAAUGCGCAGAUAUCAGGAGGAACACCAAUGGCGAAGGCAGCUCGCUGGGACGGUACUGACGCUGAGGAGCGAAAGCGUGGGGAGCGAACAGG
rnacentral:rRNA from 1 species